GGGAGGAAGAAGAGCAGAGUCAGAGAAGCCGUGGAGCCUUCACCAGAGAUGGACACCGGUUAGAAUCUCCGGAAAUGAAACCUAGACCAAAUAUCUUAAGGGACUCACUUCUCUUUCGAAGUUUGCUUUACCUGAGCAUCUGACAGGUUAAGAUUUGUGGAGGAGACUGAGGUGCUCGGAGCAGCUGCUGCCCAGUAGAAUGGGCUGUUCUGCGAUCAACUGGCUUGGUUCUUCUCUGGGAGAAGAAGGAAUGGAACAGAACAAAGGCUGAUGACGUACAAGAAUAAGAAGGAUCACUUCGGGGUGGGAGAGCCUCGGCUUUUGUCUGUGUUUGGUCAUGACUUUUGUACUGUUCCAUCAGGGUCACAAAGUAACGCUGUCUGAGGUUGAAGGUUAUGGAAUUAUGUACCAUUGAACCCUGGUCCUCUGGAAGAGCAACUAACACUCUUAGCCACAGAGCCAUCUCUGCAGUCCCCACUGCCCUCUUUCUUGGUGGAAAUGUUAGUUAUGUUUUUUCAGAUAUUCUCAUAGCUCUUUUCCAGCAACGCGAAGUCAGGAGUAGACAGUUUCCGCUUUUCCCUGCCACCUGGGCUAGCCAAGAUGGUGGCAGGUACGGUAUACACUAGCCUCUGAAGCCUGUUAGAGUCCCCUUCAGACCCACUUUCCUUUUGUCUCCCUUCUGCCUCAGUAGACAGCAAAGGUCUAAGACUGCAGCCUGGCGGGCCAUGUGCCUAAUUUGCACCAUCACCAUUGAUUUUCCAGCCCAUUAUUGGUCUCCAGUGUGGCCCGCCCAACACCCUGGGAGCUGCCCUAAUGAAAGAUCUUGGGUCUCUCAGGGCAAUCACUUCUCCCACUUCUUCCUGGAAACUGGAGACAUCUUCAGCGCACAUAAAUUAUCAGCUGCUUUUGCUGCAGGAGCAUCUGCCUUUUACACUACCCCACCCUCCCCAUUCAUCCCGGCAGGUGGAGGGCUUCGGUUUCUGCCCCUCUCCCACCUCCAGGAGCUGUAAAUAAACAGUCUGGUUUAUUUACAGCUCAUUCCAGCGCUGAGUAUUUCCAUCAGGUGGCUGAGUUUAGAAGCAGUGCCCCCACCCCCAUUCACUUUCCCCAUCCGCUAAGCCAGGGCUUCAGGUAUCUAUUUUGGUGCUGAGUGGCCCAUGGGUCUCUCCCAGGCCUGUGCUGUCUCUGCUGGAAUAGCACUUAAGCUCACGGACCAGCCUGGAAGAGCCCCAGAAGGCUCUGUUGUAACAGAAACUGACUUGUGUGUAGUACACCGUGCCUGCUGUGGCCUGGUGCACCGUGAGCACGGCUCAGCUCCAGGCGGCUGCCUUAGCAAUGUCAACAAAGGACUCCAAGACCACUGGCCUUCACUUCAAGAUACCAGUGCCAUGUUGUUUGUGGGUAUCACACUGCCAAAGUAGAGGUAACUGUCUAAUGAAGGUUUUUGGCAAGUGUUUUGUUUUUUCCUCAUUAGAAACUGAGUUCUAUUCUUGGAAAGUGAUCUACACCAAUGGACUUUUGCAAAUACAGGAACUUGCUUUGCAGAGUGUGAGUCUGGAGGGCACAUGGCCUUGUAAUACGGUACAACUCACUUCCUCAGCCCAAGGACUCAAGUUUCUUCAUUUGUACCAUCAAGAGUUUGGCAUAUACUGCCUCCACAGGCAGUUUUUAAGGUCAGUGUGACCCUGGGAUCACCAUUAGGUCUAUCCUCAUUUUCAUACAUGCAAGACAAGCCCAGGCCACCAAGCAAGGCCACCAAGACAGCCGUUCCGAUUUCAACUUCCUACACCAAACAGCAUCCCUCAGGGGAAGCCAGCGAGUCACUAAAAGCUGCCAAAGGAAGCAGCUAUGAAAGAAGAAGACUUCCUGCCUCCGCAGGUUGGAAAAUGCCAAGUGCAACCAUAUGCUGGCGUUCUGUACCUGCCCGGCAUGUGGUAGCAGCCUGCCGAGUUUUCACUUCUUUCCCACCCGUGAGAGCAGUGUUAGAAGGAAACACCAGAAAAGGAGAGGCGGAAGGGGCAUGUUCCAUGGCGUCACUGGAUGCAUCAGUGGUAGGCUGGGAGGCCCAGCAGCAGUGACAUCCGCACAGGAGCCAGCUGUGUUUGCCCAAAGUUGUCUAUGAUUCACAUAUCCCAGAGAAGCCUAACUCCCUGUGCCGUUCCUUAGCCCAAUGCACAGACCAUACCGCCUUUGGAAAACAAAUUCUGAUCCUAAAGUUCUUUGAAAGGCCAUGGUGGAGGUUUGCACCAGAGUAGGCCUGGGCAGCAGGUGAGGGAGGACACACCUGCCAAGAAAGCGAUUUGGUGUUUUGGUGGCUCUGAGCCUUUGAGCCGCAUCACCCAAGCCAGCUGGCCUGGAAUGAUGGCGAGCAUCCCAGUCACUUAAGGGGUGGGGGCAGGGGGUGGACACAUGGACUAUAGAACCUGGUUUUACUUCAAAGUCAAGGGGACAGCAGCUGCCAGCCACCCUGGAGUCAAGGUCACCAGAGGGACAAUAAACAAGUUCACACACAUGGGCAUGUGUGCAAGGCCCCCACUAACUCCAUCACACCCCUUUACACUGCAGUCCUAACACCGGCUGAGGAGUUUCUAAUUUAACAUCUGCUAAUGCUCCCAGGACAAGCCUAAUUACAAGUCUUUAAAAAAAAAUUGCAUGCACACAUUCUCUCUCUAUGUCCCUCUCCCUCUCUCUCCUCCCUCUCUAACACAGGCUCGCAUGCGCGUGCACACACUUACUCAAGUAGCCAGCUGAGUGA